rnacentral:rRNA from 1 species
UACGGAGGGUGCAAGCGUUAAUCGGAAUUACUGGGCGUAAAGCGUGCGCAGGCGGUUUGUUAAGUCUGUUGUGAAAUCCCCGAGCUCAACUUGGGAAUUGCAAUGGAUACUGGCAGGCUGGAGUAUGGUAGAGGAAGGUGGAAUUCCAGGUGUAGCGGUGAAAUGCGUAGAUAUCUGGAGGAAUACCGGUGGCGAAGGCGGCAUCCUGGACCGACAUUGACGCUGAGGAGCGAAAGCUAGGGGAGCAAACGGG